CUACCCAGUUACAUGGAGGGUUUCUUUCUGUUUUUGGAGGUCUAAGGCCUUCUGCCAGUGUUCAAUUGCCUUUUCACUGUUGAUUUCAUGAGCAUAAAUAUAAGUGCUAUUUGUGACUUUGUUUUCUAUUAUGUCUUAAAAGCAAGUGAUGGUGGAGUUCCCUUUGUGGCUCAGUGGUUAAGGAACCUAAAUAGGAUCCAUGAGGAUGCAGGUUCAAUUCUUGGCCUCACUCAGUGGGUUAAGUAUCUGGAAUUGCUAUGAGCUGUGGUGUAGGUCACAGACACAUCUCAGAUCCUGAGUUACUGUGGGAUCCUGCAUUGCUGUGGCAUAGGUGGGCAGCUGGAGCUUCGAUUCAACCUCUAGCCUUGGAAACUCCAUAUGCCUCAAGUGCAGCCCUAAAAAGAAAAAAAACAAAACAACAACAACAAAAAACAAGUGAUGGUAAUUAUUUUGAUUUUCUGGAAAGUAUUAGGUACUUGGGUAUUUGUUAAAUUCGUUGUGAGGUAGGAUAAUUGCCUUAAAGGAAUCAUGUCCAAAUGCCCCCCUAGUGUGGGAAUCCUUUCUGUAAUUUUCCAACAUAUUGAUACUCCCAGUGAUGGAAGCUUACUACUUAAUGUCCACAUAUUUCAGUACUAUUAUAAAGACUUUUUGUAACUCAUUUCUUUAACAAUACCUCUUGGUUUAUUUAACUAAUUGAAAAAUGUUUUAUCUUGAAAAUUUUCAAAUGUAUAUAUUUCUUUACUUAGAGGACAGUAUAAUGAAACCCAAUACUGACAACCUAGGCCCAACAGUUAAGAGUUUGCCACACUUGCUUAACUGUAUAUCCCCUUUUCCUGAAGUCAUUUAACACACAUUACAACCAUAUUACCAUUAUCAUGCUUCAUAAAAUUAAUAGACACUCUAUUACCAAACACAUAAUUUAGAAUUGAAUUUCUUAGCUAUCUCUAAAAUAUCUUUUUAUUGUUUAUUUAUUAGAAUCAGGGUCAAAAUAAGGUCCACACUUGACAAUGGGUUGCUAAUUUUUAAUUAUAAAAGCAAUACAUGCUCAUUGUUAAAAAAUGCAAAUGAUUCAGAAAGUUAUAAAGUGGAAAGUGGAAUUCCCUCUUAUCACCCACUUUCCACAUCCCACUGUUAAGUUUCUUGCACAUCUAGAAAAUAAGCCUGAUACCAUAUAUAUGUUUUUUAUAACUUUUUUCAUAGUGAAAAUCGGUACAUCAAGAUCUGUCUUUAAUAGCUGCAAGGUAUUCCCCUACAUGGAUGGAGACCCAUACUGAUAAAGUAUGUGCAGGUUGUUUUCACUGGGCAUUUUGCUGCAGUAAACAUCAUUCUGCAUACAUCUCAGCCCACUUGUUCAAGUAUUGCUGAGGAAUAAAUUUCUAGAAAUGGAAUUGCUCAGGGAACAUGUGGGCAUGACUUUUAUUUGGAUACAUGUUCAUAAAAAGUGAAGAAUUCUAUUUUUCUCACAUCCUCACCAAAUCUGAUAUGUGAAAAAAGUGAGUCCUGACUACCUUUUAGAAUUUCUCUGCCCAGAAGUUUUCAAUGACUGUUCAUUCAAAUUAAAAAGUCCCAUUAAAAAUAGUUGAUGCUAGCAAAGUUGCAAUCUAAAAAUGUUUUGUGCUAAGUGCACACUAGCAAAGUAGAGAACUAAAAAUAUCCAGAAAAUUAAAGCUUCCCAAAAGCUCCCUCAAAUUUUAAAUAAGGGAAGUUAACUUCUGCGGUACCUAUCACUUAUAUGGGCCUGGCCUAAACAAUCUCUCCAAGGGACUUGGGAGAAAGUUGUUUCUCUAGUUAGAGAAUAACAAGAUGCAGGGGAAAAAUUCAAAUUUGACAGAUAUAGGAUUUUCUCUGAAUUUGCCCUGUUCUAUAUAGAAGCCUCUAAACACAUAUGCCUAUUAAGCACUUAAAAUGUAGCUAAAGCAGCUGCAGAACUGAAUUCCUAAUUUUAUUUCAUGUUUUAAUAUGAAAAUGUAAAAACGAUUAUUAUAAAACAUUUAAGAUGCUUGGGAUGAUUUGAGUAUGGGAGUAUAUUUCUCCACAGUAAAUUUUAUGAACUCUAAAUAAAAUUAAAUAUGUCUGAUGAAACCUUAGACUCUAAACUGACAUGUAUUUUAAGUGUGGAAUACACACCAAAUUUUGAAGACUUAAUAUGAAAAAAGAAUAUUAAAUACCUUAUCAAUAAUGUUCAUACUGAUUAUAUACUUAAAUAGAUUUUGAUAGAUUAUGUUAAAUCAAUUACCAGC
ensembl:lncRNA